rnacentral:lncRNA from 1 species
ACCCAGUCUCCCUGGAACCAGAAACUCGGAGACAGGAUCAGAGAAGUCAAGCGAUCUCUCCAAAGUCACACAGCAGCGAUCCAAACCCCAGGCAUGCUGGCCCCAGUGCCCCCAGCUCACAACCACUACACCUGGCCCCUCCUCAAAGGCUACCAGUGUUUCCUGAAUGCAUCUCAGCUGGGCUGGGAACAAGGCAUUUGGGCUUCAUAAGCGUCCAUUCCGGAAGAGAGGGCAGGAGCUGCCGCCCACUCCGAUUUCCAAUCAAUCUCACUUGGCAAGCGUUGCUUACUUCAUCUGGGCCUAUGGAAAUUGGAUUCUCAGGUGACCCUGUGGCCAAAGGUGGCCAGACAGGGCCACGACCGCAGCCGGAUCUGGGAGCCGGGGCUCUGAUCUUCCCCGCCCCCCAUGCGGCCUCGGCCCAGCUGCCGGCUGCCAUCCCAGGGAGGCCCUGAGGUUUCCCAGCCAUCCCUUGGCUUUGUUUUUCUGGGCCCUUCCAGGCCCAGAACCAUCCAGAAAAGUCGGUUAGGCCAGGAACAGCUGCCUGGCGCCUCUUGAAUGGCUCAGAUGUGGUGCGCGGUGGGGCCCCAAGCCAAUACACUGCCACUAGGUGAAACGGGCACCAUUAGAGUCACAAAGACCAAUUAAAAUGAGAGGAAAAACAGCCUUCCGUUCUCCCAGGGCACCCCGGCCAGCUGCUCCCUGCUCCCACCUCACUGGCCCCAGGGGCUGCUCCCGGCCCGGUUUCCAGCCCGGCUCCCUCCUGCGCCCGGCCACCUGCCUUUGACAGAGUCAAUAUUGACGCCUGAGAGGCCUCCUGCUCAGGCGAGUGAGGGCUGAGCGGGUGGAGGGGCGGGGAGAGGCAAACAGCUCCUGGAUUUUCGACUCAAUUGCUGCGCGUAGAGAUGAGAAAUUGCCUUUCUGACCCAAAACCGGAGUUCACAGCUGCACUUCAUUACCGAUUUCUCCAGGA